UUGUAUUAUAGCGUAUUCCUCCCAUUCAAACCUACUUCAGUGCUCUUCAUCGAGUGUUGUUGUGGGCCGGUACAAUUACUUUGAACAAAUUAGAGUGCUUAAAGCAGGCUUCAAAUGCCUGAAUAUUUGUGCAUGGAAUAAUGGAAUAAGACCUCUGUUCUACUUUCAUUGGUUUAUAGAUCAAGAGGUAAUGAUUAAUAGAAGCAGUUUGGGGGCAUUAGUAUUACGACGCGAGAGGUGAAAUUCUUGGACCGUCGUAAGACUAACUUAAGCGAAAGCAUUUGCCAAAGAUGUUUUCAUUAAUCAAGAACGAAAGUUAGAGGUUCGAAG
rnacentral:ncRNA from 1 species